rnacentral:rRNA from 1 species
AACGAACGCUGGCGGCAUGCCUAACACAUGCAAGUCGAACGAGAUCUUCGGGUCUAGUGGCGCACGGGUGCGUAACGCGUGGGAAUCUGCCCUUUGGUUCGGAAUAACAGUUGGAAACGACUGCUAAUACCGGAUGAUGACGAAAGUCCAAAGAUUUAUCGCCAGAGGAUGAGCCCGCGUAGGAUUAGCUAGUUGGUGUGGUAAAGGCGCACCAAGGCGACGAUCCUUAGCUGGUCUGAGAGGAUGAUCGGCCACACUGGGACUGAGACACGGCCCAAACUCCUCCGGGAGGCAGCGGUGGGGAAUAUUGGACAAUGGGCGAAGGCCUGAUCCAGCAAUGCCGCGGGAGUGAUGAAGGCCUUAGGGUUGUAAAGCUCUUUUACCCGGGAUGAUAAUGACAGUACCGGGAGAAUAAGUUCCGGCUAACGCCGUGCCAGCCCCCGCGGUAA